UGUUUUUAUUUAUGUAUUUAUUUAUCUGAGAGGAAACCGGGGGCACAUUGGGACAUUAUCAACUCAUUCUCCUCCGAGGGGUUUUCCUCUGAGCGGAGGAAAUCGCCUGCUUUGAUUUACUCUGUAAAUCUGGGCCUUACAUUAGUGUGGCAGGAGAUUGAGUGUGGCCUCGGCUAAGCGGACUGCUUUGUGGUAAAAAUGUGGAGAUUCAUGUCGCAGAAGAAGUCCUACAUCCCACUACUGCAAGAUGUACUGUAUAUAAUAGCUGUAAAUUUUUAACUAUUUAAUGCUGCACUUUUUGUAUGUUGUGGUCUAAAAUGAAGGGUUGAGCUAACUGUUUCCCAGUGCUAAUGGCUGUUGUGCUGAGAUAAGCUCGCUACUAAGCUAGAUCCCCAAAGCUAAUGCUGCGUUCAAGUUACCUCAGAAGUCAGAUGUUGGAGCUGAAAAUGACGUCUCACCUGAGUUCCCAAUGUUUCAGUUACCAAGUCAGGAAAAAAGCAAAAUCAGAGGCCUCAAACAAGAUGGCGAAAAGUUAUACAACGAAAGUUAUUUUAGCGUUUGCCUUAUAUUCAGACAAGGCAAGCGCUGAAAUAACGUUCGUAGAUGUUGCCAUCUUGUUUCCACCUCCGAUUUUGCUUUUUUCCGACUUGGUAACUGAAACAUUGGGAACUCAGGUGAGACGUCAUUUUCAGCUCGGACUUCUGACUUCCUAGUAACUCGAAUGCAGCAUUAGCCUUGGGGAUCUAGUUUAAUAGAGUGGAUGAGUAGAAAAAUGAGGGUUAAUGCUGCGUUUAUGUUACCUAAGAAGUCAGAUGUUGGUGCUGAAAAUGACGUCACACCGGUGUUCCAACAAUUCAGUUACCAAGUCGGAAAAAAGCAAACUCGGAGGCCUUAAACAAGGUUUUAGCGUUUGUCUUGUCCUUGCUUAAAUUCGGACAAGGCAAGCGCUAAAAUAACUUUCGUAGAUGUCGCCACCUUGUUUCCACCUCUGAUUUUGCUUUUUUCCUAUUUGACAACUGAAACGCUGGGAAAUCGUCAUUUUCAACUCCGACAUCUGACUUCUGAGGUAACUCGAACACAGCAUUUGUGCAUGGACACAACAAUAGUACCAAUCUAACCAUCAAACUCUCAUAAAGAUCAGCGAGAACUGAUCUGGUGAAGGUUUGCUCAUUUUCUCAGUUUGUCACUUUAAGCCUCCCUUUAAAGAAACGUCUUAAACCACGUUUUUAAAAAGCCUUGCAGGUUUUAUUUAUUAUUAUCCUGUGUCACCUCUGCCAGAUUCAAGUCUGCUGAGCCAUGAUACAGUCCGUGUUAUUUCAAGGCCAACAAGGCCAUCUGAUAAAGCCCCAUGCCUCGCAGCCUGCGGCGAAGACAUGUUUCGAACGGUGGAAAGCCAAAAACAUCUGAACCUGCAACAGUUUCUGCAAAGUUCAAAGUCCCCAAACUGUGGGCAUUGAUCUGAUUAUGUGGAUGCCAUUUUUCAGCUGCGGAUAGCGUCCUCUUGGGUCUCCAUUGUUUCGCCAACACUGCAGCAUGUCAGCGUAGGUAGUAGCAGGCUUUUGUCUGGAUGCAGUUAGUGAUGAUAUCAGGAGGGACUUUCCCCCCCAGUUUCCUGAUAUGAGCUUUUCCCAUGUUAUCAUAGAGAAAUAAUCACAGCAGAUACGUUAGUCAGCUGACACUGAUUGCUUGAAUAUGAUUGGAAGAGAAAAAACAAAAUCAAGAGGGGAGAUAGCUCAACUGUUACAGUAUCUUUCACGACAUUUCGAGGACUUCUUUGUAGGUUUCUUUGCACGAAGCUAAACUCACUGCUCCGAGGUGCAGGCUGUGGUGUUUUAUUUAUCGUACAAAUGUGAUAGCUGUCAAAAUCUCCCCGUAGAGCCCAGAAAAAGGAUUAGUUUUCACAUUAUUGCAUAAAAACCUCAAUAUUUGCCUUUAAACUGGGGCUGGAGGGCUGGAAUUGGUGCUGCAGGCGGGCAGUGAAGAGUUACUGAUGAUCCAUUGUGUGUAAAUGAACCGAGGAGAUAAUCUGCAUCAGGUGAACUCAGACACUGUGAGGUUUAGUCAAACACAGGAGCUCCUUGAAGUGUAAGAUAAGCCAGAUAUGUGAGAUAAUUUAUAGAUAAAAUACUCCAGUCGGGCACAUUUAGAAAACUUUAAUGAAGGUUUGAAUGUGACAUAAAAAAGUGUCGCCCAAACAGCCACAAGGUUUCCUCUUAAUCAUUUAUUUUUGAAACACGAUAAUAUCACUUUGCUCUCAGAAAGGAAGGGUAAAAAAAGGUGAAAGCUAAAUUUUCACACCACUGAUCAGGUUUUAUUUCACCUCAUACCAUCGCGAACUUGACUCUGAUUUGUGUCACAAUUUAAUGAACCCAUUGGGUUUUAUUUUGACGGAAGUCUGAAAGGAGACAGCUGACGGGGGGGUUGCUUCAUCUCCCUGAAGAAGAAACAAUUUAAAAGAAAAUAUGUGUGAAUCUUGUUAUAGGUGGGUCGGCUCUUCCUCUCAGCGCUGCUCAUUUCUACACAGCGUUGGUGUAAAGGGAACAACUUAGGGGAGGAAGCACUCACACAAACGGUGCAUUUCCUCCAUAAAACCACAGAUGUGUGAAAACAACAUGCAGUGCAUUCCUUGGCCAUUUCUCUCACUUUAGCACAAAGAAGGACUACAGGGUCGGCAGAGCGUUUCUGAGAGGAGCAAACAUGACCAAAGACGCAUGUUGGUGUUUUUCAAAUGUGCGCAGCUUAAACCCAGCGUGAUAAAAGAGAAGUGUUACAUCAUUAAAAAGGUAGUGUGAAGAUCAGAGCUGCUAUGGGGAGACAGUUUGAAGGAGCUUGCAACCGCAGCCCGGUAAAAGAGAAGUUGUUGCGUCUAUGAGGAAGUUCCAGCCAUGAGUUUGGGAGUAUUUGUUCUGUAAUCUCCAAAAAUGAUUUUGCAUUAUUUAACAGGAAGAGAAAAAGCUAUAAAAACUCCAAUUUGAACCGAGUCGUAUGAUGCAGUUUCAGGAUCAACUCCAGGAUCCAGAAGCUUCUCUCCUUAUCUUGCGCCCUCGCUCGCCUCUAUUGAUCCAGAUUCUUACUGAUCACACAUGCAAUUAUUGAUCGACUUUGGGACACCGUGAGCUGGCGUGGCGCCCUGUUUGCACCCUUGGGGGUAUCUGUGUUUUGUUCCGCGGUGUUGCUUUAGCGCCCCAACUAGGCAAAGGCCACACAUGAAAGGAUCCAGAGUGUUUGACUGAUCAAUUCAUACCCUGAUUGUCAAACACAAAGACCGCUCUGUCUCUAAAAACCAUAUCCAGAGAGUUUGAUCAGUAAUUAACCCGUCAGAUUUCAACAAGACAGCAUCAGACAGUGAUUUUAAAAUCUAGAUUGUUGUCUUGCUGGUGUUUUAGUUUGGAGCGAGAUGAAUUGAGGGACUUCUUUGGGCGGAGGGGUCAAAAACAGGUCAAGUUGUGGAGAGCAGUAUUUAUGAGGCUGUAGCUGCCAGAAAAACAAUAAUGCUGCUUGGACAUAAUCUGUCAUUUGUUUUCUCACCAAAACUUGUGAAGUAAUUCCUUACUUGCGCUACAAAGACAUCAAAUGGUAUCUAGUUUCUUCCCUUUGCUGUGAAAAGUACAUAAAAGUGGUUGCUUUUAUACUUUACUGUUACUUUUUUGUUGUGAUGUUAUAUCGGCAUUUAGUAGGAAAUUUAAAAAAAAUUAUUUCUGGCUCAAACUCAUGUCAAGGACAUAAAAAGAGAGUCCCAAAAUAGACAAAGUCUUAUCAGUUUGGGAAUGGUCUUAGCACCAGCUGGAACAAUGCUGGGCGAGAUGGGAGCCGACGCUGACCCUAAUAAUGUGACCGCUCCAUCAAGGAACCUGGAGAACAGGAAGCUCACGGUACCUCUGUCUUCAUGGAUAAAGUCAUAAAAAUGAUAAACACAGGUCUCAAUUAGCCCCCGUCAGGACAAUGUGCUGGUGGACGGUAGAGAGAGGGGAGGGGGGGGUUUGGUCAGGUCAGUAAAAGUGAGGAGAUAAAAGUGUCUGAUCUCCUGUUCGGCUGACCUCCCUGUUCAUUUCGCUGAGGAAACCUGGGUUUUCCCUUCCCCCCCGCUCAUUAAUGGUGAUUCACAAGUCAAUCAGAUGUGCUAUAAAUAUAUUUUUGAUUUGACUCCCUGUGGUGUUGCUUUAAAGAAGUGAGAACCUGGUCAUAAAUGAGUGGGUGUCAUCUCGAGAGUAAGGGGGCAGUUGCACAGGAAGGUUAAAGGUCAACUCUGGUUCAUUUCAGCUCAAAGCUUUCCAACCUAAAAUUAUCUGUCAAGAUCAUUUUUCUAUUACCUAAUAAAUUUAUCUCAAGAAUUAAACUUGUGAUUCAGCUUUUCCGUUCAAACCGUCACUUAAAGUGAUCAAACCAAAUUCUGUUUUGGUAGAAAGACACUUUAAAGCUCUAAAGAGGAACUUUUACUUUACAGAGCCUCUUAUGUCUUCACUGAAAACUGUGAAGUUCUGUCUUUUACUAAACCUUGAUAAAAGUUAAUUGAAUGUUUUGUACAGCCUUAUGAUGGCCUUGUGCUAUAUUCCAGUUGUACUCGGUAGUCGUAAUUCCCUAGCUCCAAUUGGGAAUUCAUCUGGAACGCCCCUUAAGUCGGAUUUUCGACUCUAAAAGUCAGACGAUCCUCACCAACCCCAACUUGAUGACGUCAUAAUCCAUGAUGGCAGCACAGUGCAUUAACAGUAAAAUCUCUCGUAAUGUUUUACAUAUUAGCAUUUCUGUUUCAUUUUUGUAAAAUUGAAUAAGUGGUAUAUGUUGUAUGGCCAAACUUCUAACUGUGAACACGGUGCUAUGGUGUUUGUAAGAGUAAAAUACUGUGUUAUGCGUUGUUUACAACUGGUAUAGCUAACAACAACUAACAACUGCUGUCAAUUGUAAACAAUCAGAAUCAGAAUCAGAAAUACUUUAAUAAUCCUCGGGGGAAAUUGCUUUUGUCACAGUACUCCAGUGCAAGUACAGUAAAAUACAGUAAACAACAGAUAACAAUGGCUAACAACUGCUGACAACGGCCAGCGACAGCUGACAAUUGUAAACAACGGCUAACAGUAGGCGUCCAUCUUGGUUUUCCAACUUGUUAACUGGAAUGUCGUCAACUCGGGUGUAACGUCAUUCCCAGCUCCGACGUCUGAAUUCUGAGGUAACUGGAACGCAGCAUUACAAUACCAUAACGUCACACUCCAACUCAGAUAAAAAAAUGCAUGCAGGUACUUGAGAUGGGCUUAAAAAAAAGAGCGGUUUUUACAUGCUAAAGUUUAAGGAGCUUUUUUUUUUUUAACUCUGCUGAUUGGCUUUCCUCUUCAAUACGACUCUUAUGUCUCAGUAACUAUAAAGCCACAGAUUAAAGCAGCUAAGCUUUAACUGGCAAUAAGGGUUGAAUGUAGGCAGCUAACUGGGUUCAGUAUUUAAUCCUGAAAGUUGCUAGCAUCUCUGAACCCAUAUUAAGACAUUUACAAUAAUGAAAAGUUAAGCAUAGUCAGAAAGUAUUGCGGCUAAGCAAGCAGACUCAUAUCUUCAGCCGGCGUGUCCUGAAAAGUAAAAUUCAAUAAGAUUCAAGACCAAAAGAAACAUGAAGAGUUAAAGCAUGAAAAAAGGCAGCUCAGACUUUGACAAAACUGUUCCCUUGGUUAAGUUUUACAUGUUUGUUGUCAACCUGAUAUAUUGUUUAAACUGAAUUGUAUUAUCUUUAAAACUGUGGCCAUUUUCUCUCUUUGCCAGGGCCCCGAUGCCAAAGAUUUGAAGCCUUAAACAAUGUCCAUGAUAUCACACAUUUGUAUCGCUGUAUCCUCUGAGUCCCCUGAGUGAAAAUACAACUCUAUGGAUGUUCUCAGGAAAAAGACUUUGAUUAUUUUACUUGUUGCUUCCGUUUUAUUGUUGGCUGACCUCUGGCAGCGAGCAAACCCCGAGGUCACCACAACUGGUGGUGAAAAGUUUCCAAACAUCCUCAUGUUAGCAUGACUAAAAGCAUAUUUAAGAUUUGUCUUGGACUGCGGCUUCAGGAGAAAAAGGGCGAGACGAGAAGACAAAACGGAUGUGCUCAUCUCCAAACGAAGCAGCGGAGACAAACAAGAAAUAGUUUUAUCAUCAGAGCAUCUUCAAGAGGCGGGGGCAGGAUGGUGCAGCAGAGGGGUACAGGGUGAAGACGUCCAAAUGUUCUCUUUUCUGCAACGGACCAGCCAAUAAACAUUCAACAGGGCCGAGUAGAUUCCCACCUGAUUCCCAGCAGAUCCCUGACAGAUUAACGCCUCCAGAACAAUGAGACGAGAGUGGAGACAGCUUCCUCUGUGUCCCCGCUUGUCUAGGGCAGACAACAUCCCUGUGCUACCCUUUCUAACAGGGCUGAGGUGUGUGCUCCCGGGCAAGUGAACUUUCCCAGCAAUCCCCUGGGGGAGGGGGAAGACUAUAUCGCCGAUACAAUGCAUAAGAACAUCUGCAUGUGCUCCAUAGUGCGAGGCUAAGAACCCUUUUUUUUCCAUCCUCAUGUUUAAGCGCAUGACCAGUUUCAAUCCUCUUUUUCUGUAUAAUUUACCAGAAUUUCAAGUCCCCAAUUUUUGAUGACCUGAGAAAAAAAACGUGACCAAACAUAAACUCUCACAUCCUUUAUGCGAGCAUUAUUAACCACUUCACCCUGUGCAUGAUCUCUCAUAUCUGCAAUCCUCCUUACGGGGUGAUAUUCAGGUUAGCAAAGAUCCUGUAUGUCCUCAAAAGGCAUUUGAAGAGUUUGACUGACAGCUGAUGGUAGAAAAAAAACAGUCAUUUACAUCUCCUGACUGACAUGAUUAGGGUUGAAACUUGAAAAUUUCCAGCUUCAGUAAAAAAGGUGUGAUUUCUAUUUAGAGAAUCAAUCUGAGAUAGAGAUGUUUUUCUCCUCUUUUCCCUGCUGCACACCUGUUAUGUGUUCGCCUGCUUAACCUCUUCAUUCUCUCCCCCUUCCCCCCAUUCUGAAACACCUCCCGCUCUGCAAGAUCAGGUGUUGGAGGAAGUCAUAGUCUAAUCAAACACUCCAAACAAUCGCUGAUAAUGACAGAUGUCUACACACUUCAAGUGCAUUCAGAACUGUACAGAGUUUAAAACGGUUUUCCAGAAGUAACUGAGCCGUAACCCUCAAGAUCUGUGAGUUAUUCUUGAAUCUAGAAGGAUAAUAAUUUGUCUAUUUCAAGCAAAAAUGUGUCUUUUUUUAAAUAAAGGCACAUCUUUACUUUGUCAUAUAUAAUGGUUUCUUAAAGGGCUGUAGAGAGCAGAGUAUUAUCUCCUUGUCAAUCUAAACACCAAGAGCGUUUUAACCUUCUGAAGCUAAAUUCUGUCAUUAGAUUUGUCACUUGCAGAGUCUUGACAUCGACACCGUUGCAUCUCCUCUCCUUCAGUAUCUUAGAAGCUAGCUUAAGAAAACUGUUUGGCAUAUAGCCCCAGUAGAGAGGUGGUUGAGACCAAAAAUCAAAGGUGAUAAAAAAAAACGUAAAAUUUGACUUGACUCCAAAUAAAUAAUUUCGUCCAUCAUGUUAGCUAUUUUCCGUUGAUUUGCAGUUUACAGCCCAGAACGUGUACAAAAAAAAAUUUAAAUAAAAAAAUAACAUUUUUGGUACCAAAAAAAAAAUAAUCUGCAGUUUUUAUGUUAUAUUCUUAUGAUUCUUAGCCUUUUAGAGGACAAUGUUACCAUGACUUCCAACAUAGUUAAGCUAAUAAAACGGUUAGCUUGAAAAAAAGAUGCUAACAUUGGCAAAUGUUCAGGGACAACUCAGUGUCUUUCAUGCACUUCUAACUCAGUAGGUCCAAACAAACUCGAAACUUACAUUUGAAUGAUUUUAUAAAGCCAGACAAACCCGGACAGCCCUAAAAAAAGAGCACAUGUCCGGGUAAAAGAGGACAUAUGGUCACCCUAAACAUUACCAUGACUCCUAACAACAGUGAGGCUAAAAUGGUUAGCUUAAAAAAAAGGCGCAAAUAUUGACAAAUGUUAAGGAACAGCUUGUACUUAUCAUAAUUUGUGAUCAUACUUAUCAUUGUAAGAUAGAGUGACCAUAUUCUGACUUCCCAAAAAUAGGACAUGACUACAUGGGGGCGGAGUCACGGAGUCGCACUAAGUUAAUUUUGAGAGUUUUUCAGGUCGGAUUGAGUGUCUUUUUCGCGCUUCUAACUCAGUAAGUCAACGUGACACAAACUUGAAACUUACGUACAAAACAGAGGACAUUUGAACGAUUUUAUAAACUUCCCCAGACAAAGCAGGACAAACCCGGACAGCCCCCCAAAAAAGAAACCUGGGUAAAAGAGGACGUAUGGUCACCCUACACAUUACCAUGACUCCUAACAACAGUGAGGCUAAAAUGGUUAUCUUUAAAAAAAGGUGCAAAUAUUGACAAAUGUUAAGGGACAGCUUGUACCUAAUCAUAAUUUGUGAUCAUACUUAACAAUGUAAAAUACUAUUUAUUUGCUGGACACACACAAGAGGUCACGCCUGAGGCAGAAUACCCAAACAUUUGCUGCUAAUUGGCCGAGUAUUGUUCAAACUAAAAACACUCUCUCUGCGGCUUUGUCCAUCUCAGGCCAGAGGAGUGGAGCAGCUCUGGGGAUCACUGCAGAGUGCUAACACAUAUAUACCUUCCGUCCCUGUGAUUUAAACUAACACCGCGACUUCACAGCGCGGCACAAAGGAGCCAGCAAACACAUUGUGCAAUUCCCAAGAAAGCCACCCACAGACGUUUCUACAGCGAGACUGGCGACCAGCAGCUCCACCGCGUUUCUGAACUCACUUGGAAGGCGGACAGUUUGUGCUGCUACGCCAAGGACAGGAAGUGCUUGCAGAGGGACAGGAAGUGCUCACCGCUGCAGUAGCCGAGGCUGGAACUGAGAUAAUGCCAUUGUGUAAGCAAGCCAAGUGACCUCUCCCUGAGCGCCGAGUCCAGAGGCUGGCGUCGAGAGCCCUGGCCCCCACCCAGCCCCAGACUCCCCAGGCACGGGGUGGAGAAACAGGGGGAGGACUGGGGGGAAGGAGGAGGAGUGGGGGGGCGUAAGGCAUGUCACCUCCCCUCCUCUCCUCUGGGUUGACUCUGAACCUCACCUUGUAGAGGAAAUGUGGCUACGACUCCAGACUUUAUGACUUCUCCCAUCAAACGCCAGGGUUUUUCACUCCCACACAGCGAGGGAGAGCGAUGAGGACGGGGCACACUCAGACCCACGCCCAUGUUAACACACAAAAACACACACAAACACUCACUCUCUCUUUCUCCUCUCCCUUACUCUUCGAGGGGAAAACCUUAUCAGGUCAUCAGUGGUAAAAUAGACGAUGACAGUAUUAUAGUCUAAAUCCUGUCCUUCCAUCCAAAUCGCCCUCCCACCGACCUCCAGAGGGUCACCCGGCGUGCUCUGGAGUCCCGCCGGUGUCUGUAUGGGGGCACCAAAAGGUUGCAUAAGCAUCUCUCAUAUUUCUGUCAGCUCUCUUUGACGAGUCACCAGCACGGUAACCCACAAACCAGAGACAAGAAAAGAGCGAGAAGUGGAGGAGCUGACAGGUUGAGGUCUGCGGACUCUGAUAAGAACCCCCGCAGUCACUUGGUGGUGUUUGGAUUUCUGGGCCACAAACACGGGGGGCUUCAUUCUCUGCUGAGUAAACACUCCAAGUCUGGAUAUUUGAGGUGUAACAGGUUGCUUUAACCUUUUUUCACCCCCUUGUAUCACAGUGCUAUUGAAACACAGCUGCUCUCAAAACAAGGAAACACUUUUUCACACGUUUCUAUAGACACGUGUGUCAAAGAGUCAAUACAGACUGUAAUGGACUGAGGGCCGAUGUCAAACACAUAAAUUUCAUCAAGCUGCAGUUCAUAAAGUCUCACAGAGGGACACUUUUGGAUAGAAAUAUGGCUUAUAUUAACUAAAUAUACUGAACUGAAGAAUUUAGUGUCUUAACUAAAUUAAAAUUUUAACAUUACUGAACUUAAGAUAUGUCAAGAUUUUCGUGUUCAUGCAAAAAAACAAAAAGAAACUUUAAAAAGUCAAAUAUCUGUCUUUUGAUGCUUUAGUCUACAUAACUAGCAAAAACAUUGUUGAUAUAUAACUUUUCCUUUUCUAUAAGAGGGAGUUUUUGGCUCAUUUUCAGGCUUUAUAUGUCCUCGUGAAAGUUUUGUUGUAACUUUACAGCUAAAAAAAUAUCCCAGUAACACUUUAUAGGAACCAGCCUCUAAUAGUGCACCAUAAACACAUUCAUAAAACCCUAUGAAUGCAUCAAUAAGGCUUUAUAACUACCCCUAUCAGUGAUUAUAAGCAUUCAGAAAAGCUAAUAGCAAUGUUAAAGUGUUAUAGAUAAUUUUUUAAAAUGUAAAAUUAUAGUUAUUAUUGUGAAGUAUUUGUUUUCUGAAACUAUAAAAAACUGAUUACUUGUUAUAAUAUAUAAUUGUUAAUAAUCUUAUACAGUACUGUCCCCAAAUUAUGCUUAUAGAUUUCUGAAUAAAAAUUAUAACUUUUUAUGAUACAUAGAAUAAGUUCUUUAUGAGCCUUUAUAAUCUGGUCAAGUUGUUUUUAAACCAAGAAUUAAAAAUAAUAAAAGAUGCACGUUAAACCAUCCCUUUAGAGGGCCUCAUAGGCUUACUGCUUAUAACGCUUCAUUAACAAUGCUAUCAGCUGCUAUGAAUGCUUAUAAUCACUCAUAAGAGAUGUUAUAAAGCCUUAAAGACUUAUGUAUCAGGCUUUAUAAAUGUGCUUAUGAUUCAUUAUAAGAGCCUUUGUCUAAAACCCUUAACUUUACUUACUGUCUCUUUAAGAACCCUCCUACACUCAUGGAGCCUCCACCACUGUUGCCACAUGACACAUGAAUUUUUGGACUUCGAAUCUGAGCUGAAAAGUACAUCAAAAUUUUUUAUGUUUAUUGAUAGGCGUCUGAUGCUUUCCUUUAACAUUCAAUUUGAAAUCAUGCUCAGGUUUCAUACAGACAUUUUAACUCGAUAUCUAUAAAUAGAACAUGAAAAAAAACACAGUAGCACUUCUUUAAUGGCUGAUGUGGAUAUUCUUGUUAUGAGGAAACAGUAGCCUCUGUUCAAGUAAUCCCUUUGCAUAAUCACUUCCUAAAUAAGUCAUAAACUUAGGUUGACUUUAUCAUGAGACAUUUCUGUUCAAAUUGAAUCCCGCUUUAAAGAUAAGAAACUUAAACUCUAAAUACUGAGUUAUCAGAGAACUUUGACUUAUUUGGAGUAAAACUGAGAUGAGUCGAGUUAUCAUGACUAAGCAUUUUUACAGUGUAAACCCAGACAAGGAUUACAGAGCACACAAUGAAGUCAGAGAGCCUCCAGUGAAGUAGACGUAAUUUGAUAUAGACAUAAUAACUCUGAUAUUUUAGGUAGUACUUCUUUCAAGCUUUGUGUGACUCGCUGAAAGAGGUAUAAUAGC